GACGAACGCUGGCGGCGUGCUUAACACAUGCAAGUCGAACGGAAAGUCCCUGCUUUUUUGGGGUGCUCGAGUUGCGACCUGGUGAGUAACACUUGAGUAACCUGCCCUUGCCUUUAGGAUAACUUCAUGAAACUUAGUCUCAUCCCGCCUAGGAUCUCCUGCUUCAUGGUGGGCGUUGGAAAGUUUCGGCGGUUGGGGUUGUACUCGCGUUUUAUCAGCUUGUUGGUGGGGUAGUGGCUUACCAAGGCUUUGACGGGUAGCCGGCCUGGGAGGGGGACCGGACAAAUUGGGAAGGAGAUACGGCACAGACUAGAACGGGAGGCAGGGGUGGGGAAGAGUGCACAAGGGGAGGAAGGAUGAUGCAGCAAAGCAGCGUGCGGGAAGACAGGCAGCGGGUUGUAAACCGAUGUCGCCUGAGACGAAGCGAGAGUGACGGUAAUGGGUAAAGAAGCACCGGCUAACUACGUG
rnacentral:rRNA from 1 species